CGUCGAGGGUGGGCCGGCCGCCCAGGUCGCGGACGUUCACCGCGCCCUGGAGGGGGAUCUGCCGGACGGGACUCCCGGUGCGGGGCCGGGCCGCGGCGG
rnacentral:tRNA from 1 species